CAACGAACGCACCGUUACACCAAGUUACACUGAACCCGUGCGACGCUCCUGAAACGAACGCACCAUGGUUCGAGCGAGCUGUCACUUUUUUUACUCGCGCGUGUCCGAUCAUGUUCGUGUUGACGGUGUUUGCUGAAGUUUUAGGGGAAACCCGGAUUUUUCGCGUUGAGGCGGUCGUUUAAGCCAAUUGGCAACAUCCGGCGAUUGGCAAUCAAGUUGCCGAACGCGAUCCUAGUGUUGGUGGACGGAUGUUCGAAGUUCGAAUUGGAGCGGCUCCGGGAUGGCGGAACUUUGGGGACUUCUUCCACACGUUUCCGGCAGAAAAAAUCUGCCGAGUCACCGAUCCGGAAAAGCAAAUUUGAAAUUGUCAACCAUUUUGGGGACUUCUCCCACCGGGUUCGCUAACGGGACACAACCCAACGGAUGCGUUCGAUUGGGAGAGGACCCGGCGCCUGCUGCGGUCACUUUCGGCCGUGUUUGUUCCGGAUGGUGAGCUCGUCUCGCCUGGAGGCGAAAAUCGUUAGGGGCUAAUUUCACUAAGGAUUGUGCUUCUAGAUUACGCGAAUGUCUAUCCCAAUUACGAAGCAGUUGAUCCGGCACCGGCUACGGACAUUCCGAAUAAUUUCAAACAGUGUGGAUUGAAGCGGAAUAACAAAAGAAAACGACACGGAAAAAAAGUGCUAAAUUAAGUGAAAUUAAAGAAAACGGUAAAAAUACAAUAAAACUUACCUUAUUGACCAUUAAUUUCAAUGUAUAAAUAUAUGUUUUACAGUACAAUUUAGUGGAGAAAAAAAAAUAAAUACAAUGAAAAUACAAUGAA